UCGAAGAAUUGUGUAUUUGACGAGUUCUUUAUAUACUUGCGCUUAAGACUCAGGCUUGUCCCUUCGGGGACAUCCGAUAAAAUUGGAACGAUACAGAGAAGAUUAGCAUGGCCCCUGCGCAAGGAUGACACGCAUAAAUCGAGAAAUGGUCCAAAUUUUUUUGGCCCUUUUUCAGCCAAAUUUCGAAUGGUUUUUUUGCUCUCUCCAUGGUGUUUACCACAAUCUCUAGGGCCAAAGGCGUAGUUCAAUGCAGUUGCAGAGGCUUGAGAAGUUAUGAGCAUUUUGCAUUUGAAGUCUUCGAUGGUUCGGUGGCUUAGUCUUUGAUCUUCCAGAUGGAAGGGUUUUAGUCAGAGCAAUGCUUAGAUAAGCAAGGAGGUUGGAGGGCAGAUUAGUAUACUAUUUUUUAUGGGUCGGUGCAGAUAACCAAUUUGGAGUUGCAGAAUGGGAGUUUGAUUGUGCAGAAGUGGAGAUUUGGGAGCUGGCUUGAUGGGAUUGAUUUACGGUGAGGCUUACACUCGAAGAGCCUGAACCUGGCUCACUGUUGUCAAGCUAACACAUUCGGAUAUUCCCGAAGAAGACAGGUUGAUUGCUCUGUCAGGCUUCUAGGAUCUUGAUGAGUAAGGGAAAGUUUAGUUUUUGGUGUUGGUUUUGGAGAGGCUGUUUGCAUUGUGUAAGAUGCUAUCUGAUGUCCUGGGCUAUAAUUUUGUCUUGGUUCCUGAGCGCUUUGUUGUAAGCUUUUAGCCGUAGUGUUCACCUUUUUCUCCUCUCAUCUAUGGAGCUUGCAUUUUCUGCCAGGUACCAGGAUGAAGGUUUUAGGUUGUUUUGUAGAACAGUGCUGGUUAUGUAUGGAAAAGAGUGUCAUGAAUGUAGGUGAAGAUUCAAUUAAUGAAAUUAGGGUUACAAACUUACGAGUUGAGCUUAGCGAAAUGCUGGGAGCUAUUAGUAUAGUAUGAGAUUUUGAGAGGUACGAAAGUACUGGUUUAAAUGUGAUGGUCAUGAAUUUUUGUCUCGACCGCAAUGGUGUUCUGUUCCUUGUCCUUUGAACUAGUCUCAGGUCUUUGUGGAUAAGGAUUUGAAAUUCUUGUAAU